rnacentral:lncRNA from 10 species
CUCUAUUAUCUCGGCUUCUCGGGAGGAGCCUCAUCUAGUCAGUCACGCAGAAGUUUCUCUUUCGCUCUUCGCGCUACACACCCAGAUUGGCUUCCAGCGCGCAGGCGAGUGGGGCGAAGGAGGGGGGACAGGAGUCCCGGAAGGGCCGUCCGGCGUUCACACCCACCCCUGUUCCGCUCCUCCCGCCCCAAACAAAGUCCCCCGACUCUAGGUCCAGGAUACGUUACCUGCCCGGCGCUCCCGGCCCCUCGGUCACCGCAUCCCCCGCUGGGCGCGCCUGGGCACAAGCCUGCUGGAGAACAGAGCCAACACAGAGAAAAUGGAUCCAGGAGAUGAAGAUGGAGAAACUGGGUGCUGAAGACCUUUGAGCUGUUUUUGGAGCUAGACUGAUCACUGGACUUUCAAAUCAUAUGAGUAAAUUUGUUCUCUUUUAGGUGAAGUUAGCUUGGAUUGAAUUUUCUGUCAUUUGAAAUAGAAUCCUAAUUGAUACACUUGUCUCCAAUACCUGUUCAAAGCCUUAGUGAGGCAUAGUAAAACCUGGCUGUGCCCUGUUGAAAUCAAUUCUGUUGCAGUCAUAUGCGGUGGAAUCUGUUCUUCUUUUGCAUCCUACGUAACCAGACCAAGCUGUGGGGUGAGUGCUUUUCUUGUUCUCCAGUGCCAUUUUCAGACCUGUUGUCUUCCUGCAUCCUUCCAAACCCCAGGCUCUGUUAAAGUUGUGCCAUCAGAGUUUUUUGGGUUUCUGUAAAGAUGAGAUCUCACUAUGUUGUCCAGGCUGGUCUUGAACUCCUGGCCUCAAGCAGUCCUCCUGCCUUGGACUCCCAAAGUGCUGAGAUUACAGACAUGAGCCAUCACACCUGGCCCUGUGCCAUCAGACUUUGGCACCUAUUCCCCUUCCUUGUUGCUGUCAUCUAGAGAAUUCAGUUAACUUUAUUCUUUGAUAAAUUUAGCACCUGGCUCAUUGGGGCUUUUUUCAUUAUUAUUCUGAUGUUAUUCUCACUCACUUCCUUCUUUCUGACUUCAAUGCCCACUCAAAUAUUACAUCUAAUACCUUAGACUCCAGUUUCCAGAUCCUCCCACCUUACAAUAGAAUGAUAUAAUUCUUCACCGACCAUCAGCUAUCCACUCCUGUCUAAGGUCAUACUUCUGACCUUGUAAUCAUCAAUAAGUCCAUCAUCUCCAGUAUCUCUAGUACCAGCAUCCCAUUCUUUGACUAUUGUCUUCUAUCCUAAAAGCUCACUAAACCAAGAAUAUCUAUACAAACAAUAUCUUGCCUUUAUUAAGACUCUCUAAUCUGGUGAGUUUAUGACUGAAUCACUAUCAAUCUGUCCUCUUCAGGUACUCCCUUCCUUAUUCACUCACCUUAGACUCUGUAAUACAUUAUUAAGCCACUGUUUGAUAACACCCUUCACUCCCUUGCCUCUGCCACCCUCCUUCACCUUAGCCGAGCUGCAACCCUCUUAUACCCAAUGGUCCCCAUGCAACAACACAACUGAACACUGGUGAAGACAAAAACGUAUGCUUGCUAGCAUCACUUUAAAUUCUGGCUAUAAAUCUCAAGUGGGUAGUCAAGAGCAGUAUUAUUAAACCUGUAGGACUUUUGCAUUCCCACUUUCCAAAAUGAUAAUUUCACCUCAUGUCUUAACUCCUUAAAUCUCCUGACCCAUUUUACUGUUCAUAGUCUCAGCUUAUAACAUUGCUUCAUAAAUCAUUGAGAAAAUAGAAGUAGUUUGACAAGAAUUCCCUCACCUUUCCAAUCAAAUAUUAUCUAUCCUCCUCACUCUAUACCUAUUUUCUGCCUGCUCAAUUUAUUGUAGAGCAACUGUCUCUGCUGCUGUCACUGGUACACUCUCUGGUUUUACUCUGGAAUUCAUGCCCCCCUCACCUUAUUAAAGGUUUUGUUUCUCAAUUCUCUGCUCAUUCUUCCCUGAAUCAUCACUUCUUUCCUCAAUCACUCCCAUUGUCAUAUACCAGUUCUAAUAAUUCCUUUCUUACACACACACAAACACACUGACAACUAAAACAAUAAUAAUAGCAAAAAGAGCAGCAAAAAGACCUUCACUUCACCUUCCAUCCUUUUCCAGCGGUCUCCUGUGUCUCAGCUUAAAUGUUUUCCCAGGGGGUCUUCCUCGUCCACCCAUUUAAAAGUAGCAGCUCAGUUAUUUUUUAUCAUAUUAUUCAAUUUGAAGUCUCUUCAUUGCAUUUAUCACUCUCUUAUGUGUGUAUAUGUUAAUGUUUGUUUACUGUUUUUCUCCACCUCCCCCCAUAUUACAUAAGCUCUGGGAGUGCAAGUGUCUUCUGUCUUUUCAUGUCUGUAAUCUCAGCACACAUGAUAGGCGAAGAAAGUCCUCAAUAAUAAUCUUUGAGUGAGUGAACGAAUGAAUGAAUGAAUGACUCUGUGUGUGUGUGUGUGUGUGUGUGUGUGUGUGUGUGUGUGUGUGUGUCUACAACUAGACCAUAGGAUUCACCAGGGCAAGGACUUUGUGUCUUAUAAGUCUUUGUAGUUGGUGUUUAAUAAACACUUGUUGCAUGAGUGAGUGAAUCAUUGCUCUAAAUGAGCAAUAAUCUAAAGAUAAAAGUUAUUAACAUGAUGUUCCGCUUUUAAAAUUUGCAUUGGCAUUUUUACUUUAACAAAAUCAAAAUGAUUUCUUUUAGGAUUAUACUAAUUCCUUUUAAACUAGUGCUAAUUUGUGUGACUUAUCCAUAUGCAUCUAAAUUAAUUUUUCUAACUUUAACUAGAGCUUAUAAAUAAAUAAGUAUACAUAUAUGUAUGUAGAUGGAUGGCUAUAUAUACACCUACCCACACAUAUAUAAAACAUAUGUUAGUCCUGUUCUAAGGAUCUGCCAAACUUUCUUGGUAAGACUUGCCAAUUGCAAUCAUGUGACAGGAUGACAGUUCUCUUCUCUGGGAGAAGUCCAGACUUCCAGUGUCUGGGACAGAAAUAAUGUAGACCAAGAAACAUAUAUAGCUGAUGAUGGAUGAUUUUUGGCUCUCAUAAUGUGAGGUUUGGUCUUCUUAUUGGGAGACUAUGAAAAUCAUUAGAUCAGAAAUUAUUUUUAUUUCUACUCAGUUGAAAGAAGUUUUCCUUCUAGUAUUUCUGUAUGCAGGCAUACUGCAAAGACAAUUUGCUUGGUCAAUAUGGGUUUAUACUAAACUCUACAACUCAAAGAUAGGAUGAGAUCCUUUUGCCAGUGUAGCUGUCUUAUUUUUAUUGGCAUAGUGACUGUGUGUCCAAAUAUACACCAAUUAUAGAUGUUUUCCUGUUGUCAGUAAUAUGGUACUGUUUAAGAGUGAAGACGUUUUCACUCUCAGGCAAAACUGAUUCUGAGGACAUGACAGGGAUACUUCAGUGAUUGCAUUUAUGCGCACAGAGGAGGUUAACAGUUAGGAAUGCUUUCAGUGGUAAGCAACAAAAUAAUUAGCAGUGCUUCAACAAAUUGGGGCUCAGUGGCUCAAUGACAUAAAGAGUGCCAUCUUUGCAAUUCCAAUGACCUUCCUGUCAAAGUCGAAUGAUGGCUGCAGUGCAAAAGUGUGCUAGAAGCAGGAGGUGGUGUGGACAGGUGAGUUUCUCUUUUUGCUUAUAUUCUCUUAUCAAGGAGAUAAAAACACUUAUCCUCCAACAAACUCCUCCAACAAACUUCCCUUUACAUCUUAUUGCCUCUUAAUUUGUCCCAUGACAGUUCCUAGACCAGCUGCCGAAGCUACCUUUCCUGAGAACUAAAAUCCUUGCCUGAUUUCUGAACAAAUGGGGCCUCCACUUGAAAGAGUGGAUAGAGGAAUGGUUUUUGUGAUGGCAAGGAAUAGAGCCUGCCACAGCGGGCUAACAACCACACUCAUGAAGUUUCAUGGAGGAGAUCUUGCUUAUGUUGAAUUCAACAGAAGCCGACAGGUAAUACAGUUGAGAAAGGUUGAAAAGGCAGAGAGAGAGAGCUGCUUCUGCAAGUGUAUUGAACAAUCAAAGGCAAAUAAUUCGUUACAGCUGGGCAUUCUGUACAUGUAGAUUAGUGAGAGAUGACUGCAGAGGUCAGCAGACCUCGUGCCAUAAAGACAACAUGGAAGCAGGGAGUCAAGUUCUCAUACCUUUGGGCAUUCAUUCUGAAAUUGCUAAAGAAGCAAAUAAAUGUCUGUCUGGGCUUUCCCGCCAUACAUGACUGAGAAUAUCCAGACAUUUCUCUAUAUUAAAGAAAAAGGAGAGAGCAGUCAUUACUUAGAAUGUCUUUUUGUGCUUGCGCGCACGUGCUCUCUCUCUCUCUCUCUCCCCCUAGCUAAACCUUGGCUGGGGAGUUUUCUGCAUUUUGCUAAGCUAGAUUGUACUCAAUGGGUUAUAGAGCCCCAGAAGAUUUUUCAGCUACACUUCGCCCACUAAAACCUUUGGAGAAAAGAGGCUGAAUGCUUGCAGUGAAACUAGUCCUGCUACCCUAAUCAUUGUUGAUCAGGCCAAGAAACCAGUACCUGAACCCAAAUUUGUCCCAGUAAGAACUCACCAUAUUGGGUAAAGACAAACCAACAAAAUUAGAUCUCCUCACCUUGAGAAGGGAAACUGAAUGAGAGAUGUAUGCUAGAAAUGUCAGUAGCAGAAGCAACGUGCAGAGGAGGAAGGAGAGAGGGCAGAGGAGGAAGGAGAGAGGGCAGAGGGAAAGAGCUAGAGAGAAAAAGAAAAAGAGGAAAGUGAACAACAGCUGGGCUCUGGAAAUUAACAUAAUAAGUCUCUGGCUAUUGGAAACUGAGGAGGAAAAAAGAACACAGAAAGUGUCAAUCAACUCUCAGACAAUUCUUUAGUGACAUGGACCAUAUUAUCAUGAUUAUCUUCAGUUCAUAGGAAUCAUUAAAUCUAUUCCCAAAAUGCAAUCUAAUAUUCUCCCAAGGAAUAUAAUAUAUUCAAAUAAAAUUAUUGACAAAGGUUACAAUCGUAAAUUAUUUAUCAGGUUGAAUUACUCCCCACCUUCCAGGGAAGUCUCAGGUUGAGGUCUUUGGAAAUAGUCAUGCCACUGUUUCCUCUUUGAGUUUAUGGUUAAUGGCACAGAGAGAAGUCUUUUCUUCCCUGGGUAGUUCUGAGUAAGAAAACAAUAGUCAAACUUGAAUGUAAUCACUGAGGCAACAAGAGAAAGAAAAGUAAUGUUUAGUUAACAGAACUGCAGACCGGAAGAGACAGGAUUCAUGGAUCUGCCAAGGUGAGGAAUACAGCCUGAAAUGCAAAUAGAAGCAGAUUGGAGAACAGGAAAGAAACUUCUGGAGAAAGCAGGCAAAGGGACCUGUUCCAAUGGAAGCACACUUUAUGUCUCCCAGAAUAGUAGUUCCCCAUCCUGGCUUCCUGUCAGAAUUACCUGCAGUUCGUUUCAAAAAAAACACAUUUCCAGAACUUGCUCAAUUCCUGCUGAAUCAAAAUAUGACUUUUUAUGCAGCUGGCCUGUCACCUACACAUGAUGAACUUUUUCCUGUCCAGAGGAAAAUAUCCAUGAUGAUGGCAAAAGUCCUUUCUUGAGAGCUGUCUUUUAUUCUCGGACUAAGGUCAUCUUAAUUUUUUAUUAUAAUAUUCUUCCUUUUAUGAAAUUGUUAUGACAAAACAUGAUGAGGUUUUUUUUAAUGUUCUUACUUAGCAAAAUAAAAAUUAGCAAAACUAUUGCUAGGUCUAUGACCUUGGAUGGUUCACCAAAAUCACCAUCACUAGUUCCUGAUUUUAAAAUCAGAGUAGUAAAACCUGGCUGGGCACGGUGGCUCACACCUGUAAUCCAAGCACUUUGGGAAGCCAAGGCAGGUGGAUCGCCUAAGGUCAGGAGUUGGGAGACUAGCCUGGCCUAACACGGUGAAACCCUGUCUCUACUAAAAAUAUAAAAAGUAGCCUGGCGUGGUGGCGAGCACCUGUAAUCCCAGCUACUCCGGAGGCUGAGGCAGGAGAAUCACUUGAACCCGGGAGGCAGAGGUUGCAGUGAGCCGAGAUCGUGCCAUUGCACUCCAGCCUGGGUAACAAGAGCGAAACUCCGUCUCAAAAAAAAAAAAAAAAAAAAAAAAAAAAAAGAGUAGUAAAACUUAACAGCAUUGUUUUGUGUAGAUUAUAGGAAAUAACAUGUAUAAUACAACUGGUACAUAAGAAACACCCAAUAUGUUCUCUAUGUUAUCAGGUAAAAUACUUUGGUUUGACUCUUGUUACUCAAAUGAUAGGAUGAUUUACUGUUUCAGGUAAGUGAAACGUCUUGACAUUGUGAUUGGCGUCCAGUCUCCUUCAAACAGGACUCUGCUUUUCUAUGAUUCUUUCUGUUGUCCCUUCCACUAUGUUUUGUAUUUGCCUCUGGUCUAGCUUCUCAAGGUAGCCUCCAGGAUGCACAGAGUGAGAGAGGAUGCUUUUCCCUAAACCAGGAACAAAAUUCCAGCCCUAAGGAGAUUGGACCACUCCCGACCAAUGAGUUUGGCCAGGGAGGUCAUGCACUGAUUGGCUCAGCCCUGGAUCAGUCUACUUCUCAACCAAUCAAGGUGCUAAGGAAACAGGAUUACCCUAAACGAUUUAACACACCGGGACUCAUUCCUGAAGCUGGAGAUGCUGUAACACAAUCAAAACUGUAAGGCUUAAAAGAAUUAAAGUAGGAAUUGCCGCAAUUCCCUUCCUAGACUUAUUCCCAAAUAUACUUACUAUGGACUACCUGCAUACAGCAGCCCCUUCACAUAUUUUUACUGCCUGUCAUAAAGUAGUCUGGGUUACAUUUAAAGAAGCUGCCAGCACUUAAUGCAUAGAAGUACUAAAAAUUUGUUACUGAUGUUUGAAAAAUAUAGAAAAUUAGAAGCGGAAUGGCUGAGUGUAGUGGCUUACACCUGCAGUCCCUACAUGUUAGGAGGCCAAGGCAGGAAGACUGCUUGAGGCCAGGAGUUUGAGACUUGGGCAGCAUAGCAAGGCUUUGUCUCUACGAAAAAUUGAAUAAAUGGAUAAAUAAUAAAAGAAAAGGAAAGAAUAAAGAAAAUUAGAAGGGGAAGAAGCCUCUUAUCCCACCAGAGAGUGUAAAUGAUUAUUAAAAUUUAAUGUAGCUCUCCCUCUCCCUCUCCCUCUCCCUCUCCCUCUCCCGCUCCGUCUCCCUCUCCGUCUCCCUCUCCCUCCACGGUCUCCCUCUGAUGCUGAGCCAAAGCUGGACGGUACUGCUGCCAUCUCGGCUCACUGCAACCUCCCUGCCUGAUUCUCCUGCCUCAGCCUGCCGAGUGCCUGCGAUUGCAGGCACGCGCCGCCACGCCUGACUGGUUUUCGUUUUUUUUUGGUGGAGACGGGGUUUCGCUGUGUUGGCCGGGCUGGUCUCCAGCUCCUAACCGCGAGUGAUCCGCCAGCCUCGGCCUCCCGAGGUGCCGGGAUUGCAGAUGGAGUCUCGUUCACUCAGUGCUCAAUGGUGCCCAGGCUGGAGUGCAGUGGUGUGAUCUCAGCUCAGUACAACCUACACCUCCCAGCCGCCUGCCUUGGCCUCCCAAAGAGCCGAGAUUGCAGCCUCUGCCCGGCCGCCACCCCGUCUGGAAAGUGAGGAGCGUCUCUGCCUGGCCGCCCAUCGUCUGGGAUAUGAGGAGCCCCUCUGCCUGGCUGCCCAGUCUGGAAAGUGAGGAGCGUCUCUGCCCGGCCGCCAUCCCAUCUAGGAAGCGAGGAGCGCCUCUUCCCCGCCACCAUCCCAUCUAGGAAGUGAGGAGCGUCUCUGCCCGGCCGCCCAUCGUCUGAGAUGUGGGGAGCACCUCUGCCCCACUGCCCUGUCUGGGAUGUGAGGAGCGCCUCUGCUGGGCCGCAACCCUGUCUGGGAGGUGAGGAGCGUCUCUGCCCGGCUGCUCCGUCUGAGAAGUGAGGAAACCCUCUGCCUGGCAACCGCCCCGUCUGAGAAGUGAGGAGCCCCUCCGUCCGGCAACCACCCCGGCUGGGAAGUGAGGAGCGUCUCCGCCCGGCAGCCACCCCGUCCGGGAGGGAGGU